rnacentral:rRNA from 1 species
UACGUAGGUGGCAAGCGUUGUCCGGAUUUACUGGGUGUAAAGGGCGUGCAGCCGGAGAGACAAGUCAGAUGUGAAAUCCACGGGCUCAACCCGUGAACUGCAUUCGAAACUGUUUCCCUUGAGUGUCGGAGAGGUAAUCGGAAUUCCUUGUGUAGCGGUGAAAUGCGUAGAUAUAAGGAAGAACACCAGUGGCGAAGGCGGAUUACUGGACGAUAACUGACGGUGAGGCGCGAAAGCGUGGGGAGCAAACAGG